AUGAGUGAGAGAGUGUAUAUAUCCUCCGGUGAGUGGCUUCCGUGCUAUGCUUGUGAAGUGAGCAGUCUUUUUGCUGUCCACCUUUCUUUCGUUGUCUGUUCGACCUUGGAAACUACACUGUGUUCCGAAGAUUAAAACCCUAUACUACUACUUCCUAAUCUAAUUACAUGCAACCAUCUUAUAAAUUACCCACUUCUGAUCUCUUUCUUUCUCCAAUUUCUAUUUCGUUUAAUUUAUAUGCUUAAUAAAUUCUAUAUACAUACAUUAUACAUUUAUACAUACAGUAACUAUCUUGGCUUUAAUUAGUUAAUUGUGAAGGACUGGUAGUUGGUACCAAACACUCUACUUUUAUCGUAUCAUCAUCAUAUCAUACAACUUUAAUUCGUAACUUGAAACCUGAUAUAUUUUUUGGGGUGACGAGGGAAACCCCCUUUGGCCAUCACCUUAAUUGGAUAAACCCAGUCUUAUACACUAGCCGGCAAAAGACUAAAAGAGGUAAAUCAACUUAGGUAGCUUAUAGUUAAUAGGUUCGAACCAAGAAGACUAAGAUUUGAACUUGUGACCUUGCGGUUACAAGUUUGUAUCCUUACCGAUCUUGGCUAGAGUUACCAAGAAACUUGAUAUUUUUGAUUCAUGGGUCUCUUUAUGCUUUAUGCACCACAAAAAAAUAAUAAUAAUAAUAAAAAUAAAAAUGGUUCCAUUGUUGCCGGAGGGAGGGUCCAAAUUUUGGUUGCAUUGCCCUCAAUCAUUUAGGUGAUAAUAUCAUAUCAUAUCAUUUAGGGAAUAU